GACGGACGCUGGCGGCGUGCUUAACACAUGCAAGUCGAACGGAAAGGCCCCAGCUUGCUGGGGUACUCGAGUGGCGAACGGGUGAGUAACACGUGGGUGAUCUGCCCUGCACUCUGGGAUAAGCCUGGGAAACUGGGUCUAAUACCGGAUAGGACCGUGCUUUAGUGUGUGCGGUGGAAAGUUUUUCGGUGCAGGAUGAGCCCGCGGCCUAUCAGCUUGUUGGUGGGGUAAUGGCCUACCAAGGCGGCGACGGGUAGCCGGCCUGAGAGGGUGUACGGCCACAUUGGGACUGAAACACGGCCCAGACUCCUACGGGAGGCAGCAGUGGGGAAUAUUGCACAAUGGGCGCAAGCCUGAUGCAGCGACGCCGCGUGGGGGAUGACGGCCUUCGGGUUGUAAACCCCUUUCGGCAGGGACGAAGCUUUUGUGACGGUACCUGCAUAAGAAGCACCGGCUAACUACGUG
rnacentral:rRNA from 1 species